CUAGCGGGAGAGACCGACAUUUAAUAUCCGUCGGCGCCGAAGGAGCAACCUACUCGGGAAUCUCUCAGGCAAAAGGACCGUUAGGUGA
rnacentral:ncRNA from 1 species